rnacentral:rRNA from 1 species
UACGUAGGGUGCGAGCGUUGUCCGGAAUUAUUGGGCGUAAAGAGCUUGUAGGCGGUUUGUCGCGUCUGCUGUGAAAUCCCAGGGCUUAACCCUGGGCUUGCAGUGGGUACGGGCAGACUAGAGUGUGGUAGGGGAGACUGGAAUUCCACGUGUAGCGGUGAAAUGCGUAGAGAUGUGGAGGAACACCGAUGGCGAAGGCAGCCUUCUGGGCCAACACUGACGCUCAUGCACGAAAGCGUGGGGAGCGAACAGG